rnacentral:rRNA from 1 species
CAUCCUACGGGGGGCAGCAGUGGGGGAUAUUGCACAAUGGAGGAAACUCUGAUGCAGCAACGCCGCGUGAGGGAAGACGGUUUUCGGAUUGUAAACCUCUGUCCUUAGGGAAGAUGAUGACGGUACCUAAGGAGGAAGCUCCGGCUAACUACGUGCCAGCAGCCGCGGUAAUACGUAGGGAGCAAGCGUUGUCCGGAUUUACUGGGUGUAAAGGGUGCGUAGGCGGCUUAGCAAGUCAGGCGUGAAAUAUAUGGGCUUAACUCAUAGACUGCGUUUGAAACUGUUGAGCUUGAGUGAAGUAGAGGUAGGCGGAAUUCCCGGUGUAGCGGUGAAAUGCGUAGAGAUCGGGAGGAACACCAGUGGCGAAGGCGGCCUACUGGGCUUUAACUGACGCUGAGGCACGAAAGCAUGGGUAGCAAACAGGAUUAGAUACCCCAGUAGUCAG